GGCACCGGUGCCACCCCCAAACUGGGCAGAGCCCAACCCCAGCCCCAGCCCCAGGAGCUGACCGGGACUGAACCGCCACAUCCAGGGUUUUGUCCAGCUGGAAUCCCUGGAUCUGCUCCCCAGAACCCACCAGGGCUGCGGGGACUCUGGGCUGCCCCCCUCGAUGGCACCCAGGUGGGCACGGUGGCCAAAACUGGAUGUGGGGGCUGGGCAUGGAGAACCCGUGGGGGGGGGACAGGGGGGGUUUCAUCUUCAUGGGGACCCCAGGGAUGGCAGGGGACAUGGGUGUCCAUGUUGGGAUGGCAGGGGACACCCACACCUGGAUGUCCAGGUUAAAAGUGACAGGUGACCCUCUCACCUGGAUGUCCAGGUUAAAAGUGACAGGUGACCCUCUCACCUGGAUGUCCAGGUUCAGGGGUGACAGGUGACCCUCCCACCUGGAUGUCCAGGUUCAGGGGUGACAGGUGACCCUCUCACCUGGAUGUCCAGGUUCAGGGGUGACAGGUGACCCUCUCACCUGGAUG